rnacentral:rRNA from 1 species
AUUGAACGCUGGCGGCAUGCUUUACACAUGCAAGUCGAACGGUAACAGGCCGCAAGGUGCUGACGAGUGGCGAACGGGUGAGUAAUGCAUCGGAACGUGCCCAGUCGUGGGGGAUAACGCAGCGAAAGCUGUGCUAAUACCGCAUACGAUCUAUGGAUGAAAGCGGGGGACCGUAAGGCCUCGCGCGAUUGGAGCGGCCGAUGUCAGAUUAGGUAGUUGGUGGGGUAAAGGCCUACCAAGCCGACGAUCUGUAGCUGGUCUGAGAGGACGACCAGCCACACUGGGACUGAGACACGGCCCAGACUCCUACGGGAGGCAGCAGUGGGGAAUUUUGGACAAUGGGCGCAAGCCUGAUCCAGCAAUGCCGCGUGCAGGAAGAAGGCCUUCGGGUUGUAAACUGCUUUUGUACGGAACGAAACGGUCUGGGUUAAUACCCUGGGCUAAUGACGGUACCGUAAGAAUAAGCACCGGCUAACUACGUGCCAGCAGCCGCGGUAA